AGCGAAGAUCGAUAUGUCUUAAGAAAACUGGCUACUCACAUCAGAAAUUCACAGGCUUUUGUGAUGUUUGACAGGAAAAAGCAUGAAUUUGUCACCUUCCAAGAGGUAAGCAUUGUCACUACUGGCUUGCUCCCAACACUAUCUGAUUGAUGCAGUUUGUGGCCGCAUCAGUAUCUUUGUCCAGAAAUGCAAGCUUUUUGAAGCUGCUGGAUUUG
rnacentral:lncRNA from 1 species